AUUGAACGCUGGCGGAAUGCUUUACACAUGCAAGUCGAACGGUAGAGGGGGCAACCCCUCGAGAGUGGCGAACGGGUGAGUAAUAUAUCGGAACGUGCCCAGUCGUGGGGGAUAACGUAGCGAAAGUUACGCUAAUACCGCAUACGAUCUAAGGAUGAAAGCGGGGGAUCGCAAGACCUCGCGCGAUUGGAGCGGCCGAUAUCAGAUUAGGUAGUUGGUGGGGUAAAGGCUCACCAAGCCAACGAUCUGUAGCUGGUCUGAGAGGACGAACAGCCACACUGGAACUGAGACACGGUCCAGCCUCCUACGGGAGGCAGCAGUAGGGAAUUGUGGACAAUGGACUCAAGUCUGAUCCAGCCAUUCCGCGUGCAGGAUGAAGGCCCUCGGGUUGUAAACUGCUUUUGUACGGAACGAAAAGGUCUCUCUUAAUACGGGGGACUCAUGACGGUACCGUAAGAAUAAGCACCGGCUAACUACGUGCCAGUCGCCGCCGUAA
rnacentral:rRNA from 1 species